rnacentral:rRNA from 1 species
GACAGAGGUGCCGAGCGUUAGGCGGAAUCACUGGGCUUAAAGCGCGUGUAGGUGGCGGCCUAAGUACCUUGUGAAAUCCUGCGGCUCAACCGCAGAACUGCUUGGUAUACUGGGUCGCUUGAGUCAUCCAGAGGCAACUGGAACAAGCGGUGGAGCGGUGAAAUGCGUAGAUAUCGCUUGGAACGCCAAAGGUGAAAACAGGUUGCUGGGGAUGUUCUGACACUGAGACGCGAAAGCCAGGGGAGCGAACGGG